UGGGGAAUUUUGGACAAUGGGGGCAACCCUGAUCCAGCGACGCCGCGUGGAGGACGAAGGUCUUCGGAUUGUAAACUCCUUUUGAGGGGGAUGAAUGCCUGCGUGAAUAACGCAGGGUGACAGUACUCCUCGAAUAAGCCACGGCUAACUACGUGCCAGCAGCCGCGGUAAUACGUAGGUGGCAAGCGAUACUCGGAAUCACUAGGCGUAAAGCGCAGGUAGGCGGUUUAGUAAGUCUUUUGUGAAAGCUCCUGGCUUAACUGGGAGAGGUCAAAGGAAACUACUAGGCUAGAGUUUGGUAGGGGAUACCGGAAUUCCUGGUGUAGCGGUGAAAUGCGUAGAUAUCAGGAGGAAUACCUAUGGCGAAAGCAGGUAUCUGGGCCACAACUGACGCUGAGCUGCGAAAGCUAGGGGAGCAAACAGG
rnacentral:rRNA from 1 species